UUGAAAAGCACUUUGAAAAGAGAGUGAAAAGAACCUGAAACCGUUAUGUGGAAAGCGAAUUGCGUCACAAUGAGGGACGCCUGCAUGUUCAGCCUUUCGGGGUGCAUUCAUGUAGGGGUCUAUCUGUCGUGGGCUUCUGGUGGUCGAUUUUGGGCUGCUAGAGGCUGAGGGCUCCGCGCAAGCGUUGAGGACGACAGAGUGACGACGCGAUUCGACCCGUCUUGAAACACGGACCAAGGAGUCUAGCGCAGCUGCGAGUCAAAGGGUGCGAAACCCCAGGGCGCAGUGAAAGCAAAUUGUUCUUAAAACCGGCAGUUUGAGGCGGCAUGCGAUCUUUGAUUGCAAGUCCGACCUAGAGCAGUUGCGCUGGGACCCGAAAGAUGGUGAACUAUGCCGGAGUAGGGCGAAGCCAGAGGAAACUCUGGUGGAGGCUCGUAGCGGUGCUGACGUGCAAAUCGCUCGUCCAACUCGGGUAUAGGGGCGAAAGACUAAUCGAACCAUCUAGUAGCUGGUUCCCUCCGAAGUUUCUCUCAGGAUAGCGGGCAGAUUUUUGUUGUUUUGUGC
rnacentral:rRNA from 1 species